rnacentral:lncRNA from 1 species
GAAACAUCGGACAUUUAUUUGAAGCCAAGACAAAGAGAUUUUCAGAUACCUAUAAAUGAAGUCAGUAAGCUGAAAGUAUCAGUAAGCUGAAAGUAUCAGUAAGCUGAAACAUAUGAAGAUGAAAUCAAGAGUCAUGAAUUGAACAAACACACUGGAAAGCUUCAUUAACUGUUUUUCAAGCUGAUGGGGGUAAUUUACUGCUCUUGCACUUCCUGGCUAAGCCAAAAGGAUUAAUGUGUUGUGAAAUGAGGAGUGGUGGUGGAAACAGACUCCCAGUGGGGCAGGAGAGUGCAAUGCUUCGAGUCUCAGAAUUCAAGAUUCAGCAUGUUGAUCUAAAUGGAAUUGAAGAAGUCUUCCCAGAUUUUUCUUUUCUAAUUUCUGCAAGAGAGAUCAUGGGAAGAAAAAGUUACAAGGAAUAAGAGAGAAAAAGAAUUUAUAAGAUGCUUGCUGAUCUGAGAUAUUUUUUCACGAACAUAAUGAAUAAUACCAACAUACCAAACUUUUUGGACUUUUCUUCUGAUGGAAAGAAUAAUUGUAAAG